rnacentral:rRNA from 1 species
UACGUAGGGACCAAGCGUUGUCCGGAAUCAUUGGGCGUAAAGAGCGUGUAGGCGGCCUGUUAAGUCUUGCGUGAAAUCCCACGGCUCAACCGUGGAAGUGCACUCGAAACUGCGCAGCUAGAGUCCUGGAGAGGAAGGUGGAAUGCUUGGUGUAGAGGUGAAAUUCGUAGAUAUCAAGCGGAACACCGGUGGCGAAGGCGGCCUUCUGGACAGUGACUGACGCUGAGAUGCGAAAGCGUGGGGAGCAAACAGG